rnacentral:tRNA from 1 species
UGACGCAUAGCUCAAUGACAGAGCAUCUGUUUUACAUACAGAAGGUUCUCGGUUUGAAUCCGAGUGCGCCGACCA